rfam:Agrilus planipennis Contig50376, whole genome shotgun sequence.
CUUCCUACUCGAAGGAGGAGGGAUUUUAGUCGGUAUGUGCUUCGGCCAAAUCCGACACUACCCCCAUUAAACGGGUGUCUUUUGAAGAUUUCCCCUCCUCGAGGAA